CGGAGGGUGCGAGCGUUGUUCGGAAUUAUUGGGCGUAAAGCGCGUGUAGGCGGCUCCUUAAGUCUGAUGUGAAAGCCCCGGGCUCAACCUGGGAAGUGCAUUGGAAACUGGGGAACUUGAAUACGGGAGAGGGUAGUGGAAUUCCUGGUGUAGGAGUGAAAUCCGUAGAUAUCAGGAGGAACACCGGUGGCGAAGGCGGCUGCCUGGACCGAUAUUGACGCUGAGACGCGAAAACGUGGGGAGCAAAACAGGAUUAGAUACCCUGGUAGUCCACGCCGUAAACGAUGAGUACUAGGUGUUGCGGGUAUUGACCCCUGCAGUGCCGCAGCUAACGCAUUAAGUACUCCGCCUGGGAAGUACGGUCGCAAGACUA
rnacentral:rRNA from 1 species